rnacentral:rRNA from 1 species
UAACACAUGCAAGUCGAACGGUAACAUUUCUAGCUUGCUAGAAGAUGACGAGUGGCGGACGGGUGAGUAAUGCUUGGGAACUUGCCUUUGCGAGGGGGAUAACAGUUGGAAACGACUGCUAAUACCGCAUAAUGUCUUCGGACCAAACGGGGCUUCGGCUCCGGCGCAAAGAGAGGCCCAAGUGAGAUUAGCUAGUUGGUAAGGUAACGGCUUACCAAGGCGACGAUCUCUAGCUGUUCUGAGAGGAAGAUCAGCCACACUGGGACUGAGACACGGCCCAGACUCCUACGGGAGGCAGCAGUGGGGAAUAUUGCACAAUGGGGGGAACCCUGAUGCAGCCAUGCCGCGUGUGUGAAGAAGGCCUUCGGGUUGUAAAGCACUUUCAGUUGUGAGGAAAAGCUAGUAGUUAAUACCUGCUAACCGUGACGUUAACAACAGAAGAAGCACCGGCUAACUCCGUGCCAGCAGCCGCGGUAAUACGGAGGGUGCGAGCGUUAAUCGGAAUUACUGGGCGUAAAGCGCACGCAGGCGGUUUGUUAAGCUAGAUGUGAAAGCCCCGGGCUCAACCUGGGAUGGUCAUUUAGAACUGGCAGACU